rnacentral:rRNA from 1 species
CACGUAGUUAGCCGGGGCUUCUUAGUCAGGUACCGUCUUCUUUCUUCCCUGCUGAUAGGGCUUUACAUACCGAAAUACUUCUUCACCCACGCGGCGUCGCUGCAUCAGGGUUUCCCCCAUUGUGCAAUAUCCCCCACUGCUGCCCCCCGUAGGAGUCUGGGCCGUGUCUCAGUCCCAAUGUGGCCGUCCGCCCUCUCAGGCCGGCUACCGAUCGUCGCUUUGGUGGGCCCUUACCCCGCCAACUGGCUAAUCGGACGCGGAUCCAUCGCUUGCCGGAUUUCUCCUUUUCGCACUCUGCCAUGCGGCACCGUGCGCUUAUGCGGUAUUAGCGGCUGUUUCCAGCCGGUAUCCCCCUGCAUGCGGCAGGUUAUCCACGCGUUACUCACCCGUCCGCCACUCGGACAGACUUCACUAGGUUUCCGUCUGUCCCCGUUCGACUUGCAUGUGUUAGGCACGCCGCCAGCGUUCAUCCUGAGCCAGGAUCAAACUCU